UAAAUCAGUUAUCGUUUAUUUGAUAGUACCUUACUACUUGGAUAACCGUGGUAAUUCUAGAGCUAAUACAUGCUGAAAACCUCGACUUCGGAAGGGGUGUAUUUAUUAGAUAAAAAACCAAUGCCCUUCGGGGCUCUUUGGUGAUUCAUGAUAACUUCUCAGAUCGCAUGGCCUUGCGCCGGCGACGGUUCAUUCAAAUUUCUGCCCUAUCAACUUUCGAUGGUAAGGUAUUGGCUUACCAUGGUUUCAACGGGUAACGGGGAAUUAGGGUUCGAUUCCGGAGAAGGAGCCUGCGAGACGGCUCCUACAUCCAAGGAAGGCAGCAGGCGCGCAAAUUACCCAAUCCCGACACGGGGAGGUAGUGACAAUAAAUACUGAUACAGGGCUCUUUUGGGUCUUGUAAUUGGAAUGAGUACAAUUUAAACCUCUUAACGAGGAACAAUUGGAGGGCAAGUCUGGUGCCAGCAGCCGCGGUAAUUCCAGCUCCAAUAGCGUAUAUUAAAGUUGUUGCAGUUAAAAAGCUCGUAGUUGAACCUUGGGCCUGGCUGGCGGGUCCGCCUCACCGCGUGUACUUGACCGGCCGGGCCUUCUCUUCUGGAGAACCUCAUGCCCUUUACUGGGCGUGUUGGGGACCAGGACUUUUACUUUGAAAAAAUUAGAGUGUUCAAAGCAGGCCUUUGCUCGAAUAUGUUAGCAUGGAAUAAUAGAAUAGGACGUGCGGUCCUAUUUUGUUGGUUUCUAGGACCGCCGUAAUGAUUAAUAGGGACAGUCGGGGGCAUCAGUAUUCAAUUGUCAGAGGUGAAAUUCUUGGAUUUAUUGAAGACUAACUACUGCGAAAGCAUUUGCCAAGGAUGUUUUCAUUAAUCAGUGAACGAAAGUUAGGGGAUCGAAGACGAUCAGAUACCGUCGUAGUCUUAACCAUAAACUAUGCCGACUAGGGAUCGGGCGAUGUUUCAAUAUUGAC
rnacentral:rRNA from 1 species